CCCGGGGCUGAGCCCAGCCCUGCCUCCGGUAACCGCGCCGUGACAAUGAAGGGCAGCGGGGGAUGAGCGCGUGAAGCAGAAGAAACAACCCUGCAGCAGCUCACAGCCAUUUAACCCUUCCUGGCUGCAGCGCUUCAGUGAAAACUUCAGCUGUCCAUGGCAGAGCUUUAGGGAAUUUGUUCCUUUUCCAAACUCCAGGCUCUAAGGCUGCUGAAGGUGGUUAAAAUACACUUUGCAUCUUGGUU